rnacentral:rRNA from 1 species
AACGAACGCUGGCGGCAGGCUUAACACAUGCAAGUCGAGCGCCCCGCAAGGGGAGCGGCAGACGGGUGAGUAACGCGUGGGAAUCUACCCAUCUCUACGGAAUAACGCAUGGAAACGUGUGCUAAUACCGUAUACGUCCUUCGGGAGAAAGAUUUAUCGGAUAUGGAUGAGCCCGCGUUGGAUUAGCUAGUUGGUGGUGUAAAGGCCAACCAAGGCGACGAACCAUAGCUGGUCUGAGAGGAUUAUCAGCCACACUGGGACUGCGACACGGCCCAGACUCCUACGGGAGGCAGCAGGGGGGAAUAUUGGACAAUGGGCGCAAGCCUGAUCCAGCCAUGCCGCGUGAGUGAUGAAGGCCCUAGGGUUGUAAAGCUCUUUCACCGGUGAAGAUAAUGACGGUAACCGGAGAAGAAGCCCCGGCUAACUUCGUGCCAGCCGCCGCUGUAAAAC